rnacentral:rRNA from 1 species
UACGUAGGGUGCGAGCGUUGUCCGGAUUUAUUGGGCGUAAAGAGCUCGUAGGCGGCUUGUCGCGUCGUCCGUGAAAACUCGGGGCUCAACCCCGAGCUUGCGGUCGAUACGGGCAGGCUAGAGUUCGGUAGGGGAGACUGGAAUUCCUGGUGUAGCGGUGAAAUGCGCAGAUAUCAGGAGGAACACCGGUGGCGAAGGCGGGUCUCUGGGCCGAUACUGACGCUGAGGAGCGAAAGCGUGGGGAGCGAACAGG